GACAGAGGGGGGCAAGCGUUGCUCGGAAUUACUGGGCGUAAAGGGCGCGUAGGCGGGAUGGCAAGUCGGUCGUGAAAUCCCUCGGCUCAACCGAGGAACGUCGAUCGAUACUGCUGUUCUUGAGGAUUGCAGAGGAGACUGGAAUUCCCGGUGUAGCGGUGAAAUGCGCAGAUAUCGGGGAGGAACACCAAUGGCGAAGGCAGCUCGCUGGGACGUGAC
rnacentral:rRNA from 1 species